CCGGCUAACUACGUGCCAGCAGCCGCGGUAAUACGUAGGGUGCGAGCGUUGUCCGGAAUUAUUGGGCGUAAAGGGCUCGUAGGCGGUUUGUCGCGUCGGGAGUGAAAACCUUGGGCUUAACUCAGGGCUUGCUUUCGAUACGGGCAGACUAGAGGUAUGCAGGGGAGAACGGAAUUCCUGGUGUAGCGGUGAAAUGCGCAGAUAUCAGGAGGAACACCGGUGGCGAAGGCGGUUCUCUGGGCAUGAUCUGACGCUGAGGAGCGAAAGUGUGGGGAGCGAACAGGAUUAGAUACCCUGGUAGUCCAUGCCGUAAACGUUGGGCACUAGGUGUGGGGACCAUUCCACGGUUUCCGCGCCGCAGCUAACGCAUUAAGUGCCCCGCCUGGGGAGUACGGCCGCAAGGCUAAAACUCAAAGGAAUUGACGGGGCCCCGCACAAGCGGCGGAGCAUGCGGAUUAAUUCGAUGCAACGCGAAGAACCUUACCUGGGUUUGACAUGGAUCGGGAGUGCUCAGAGAUGGGUGUGCCUCUUUUGGGGUCGGUUCACAGGUGGUGCAUGGCUGUCGUCAGCUCGUGUCG
rnacentral:rRNA from 1 species